AAUUACGUCAUUAACGUAAGUCGUGACAAACAAAACAAAUUAUUGAUCUGUCAAUAAUAUCAAUCCGUCAAACGAUUUUCGUUAAGGACAGAUUUCCAGUGUGCCUUUUGAUUAGGUAGUUUGUGUCAAAAGUGAAGUUGAUGAUAUUCAUCAAAGUUGAAAACGCUUAGGAAAGUCCACAGUGCAGCAAAUCCGUUAACAGACAAGUCAUUCCCGGGGUAAAUAGGUAAAUAUGACGAACCGAUACACAGAAGGUGAGCAAAGUUUGAUUUUGAAGUUGAUUCAGUACUUCCAAAGGGAAAAAGAAGCAGGCAAAACUUUAUUACCCGUAAGCGCAGUAUAUGAUAGGGUUUGUGCUGCUCUGGGUGUAUCGUUGUCGACUGUAAAAAGAAUUAGUACAAGAGGUGUUAAAAAAGAUGACGAUUACAAAUCGCAAAAAAGUGUGGCUAUUAGUUUAUCUCACGGACCUCCGCUGCAUGAAAUACAUGAACAUGUAAUAAGGACACGGAUUUAUGCAAUGUAUGCCACAGGUAAAUAACAUUCUUUAUGUUCUAAGGGAAGAUUUGCUUCAAAUGAAGAGGUUCGCUAGAACACUUAUUGAAUUGAUUUUAUAGGUGAGAAUGUUACACUCCGUUCUUUACACAGUAAUCUUCAACGACUUGAUGGCGUAGAAAUAUCUGCUACCUCUUUGUCCCGCAGUUUGAAGAAACUGAAA